rnacentral:rRNA from 1 species
GUGGGGAAUCUUGCGCAAUGGGCGAAAGCCUGACGCAGCCAUGCCGCGUGAAUGAUGAAGGUCUUAGGAUUGUAAAAUUCUUUCACCGGGGACGAUAAUGACGGUACCCGGAGAAGAAGCUCCGGCUAACUUCGUGCCAGCAGCCGCGGUAAUACGAAGGGGGCUAGCGUUGCUCGGAAUUACUGGGCGUAAAGGGCGCGUAGGCGGACAGCUUAGUCAGAGGUGAAAGCCCAGGGCUCAACCUCGGAACUGCCUUUGAUACUGGGUGUCUUGAGUAUGAGAGAGGUGUGUGGAACUCCGAGUGUAGAGGUGAAAUUCGUAGAUAUUCGGAAGAACACCAGUGGCGAAGGCGACACACUGGCUCAUUACUGACGCUGAGGCGCGAAAGCGUGGGGAGCAAACAGGAUUAGAAACCCGGGUAGUCC